GUUGUGGCUCAGUGGUAGAGUGCUUGCCUCAUAUGUGUGAGGUACAGGGUUUAAUUCUCAGCACAACA
rnacentral:tRNA from 1 species